AGUUAAAGACGCAAGAAAAAUUGGCAAAGCAAAAAAAUAAAAAAAAACUUUCUGUGAAAAUAAAAGGAUGCAAAAAAAAAAAAAAAAAAAAAAUAGCCACAAUUGAAGUGAGCUGCUGGGGACCAAUAAUGGUGAUGCACCAGUGUUUUACGAUUUAAGCACAGAAGACGAUGGCGAGAAGAUGAGCAAAGAAGUUAGUGGAAAGUUUAUUGUUUAAUUUCUCUUUAGUUCAACUUCAUAUCGACUCAGGCACUACACGGCCUCAUGCGUCUUUAACUUCAAUUGUGGCUAUUUUUUUUUUUAUCUGCACUUUUUCUUUUUUUAUUUGCAACUGGCUUUGGUUUCUUUUUUGCAUAGGUAACUUCCGUUGUGAUUUCUUUUUUUUUUUGGCAGCAGUGGCGGUUCUCGGCCACCGUAGCUAUCUCAUUGAUACCAUAACAUUAACACUGUAUUAAUUAGGGAAACCCAUCGUAGAGUAUUUAUUGAUUGUAUGGCAGGAUUAAAAAUAUACAGUCGAAUAAUGAAUGUUAAAUGACAUUAAACACAUACUGUAGAGAGGUCUUCCCGUGAACGACCACAUGAGGGCGACAUACAACUAUUUACCUUUGUUUCCCAUAAUUCAAUGCG